rnacentral:rRNA from 1 species
UACGUAGGGGGCAAGCGUUGUCCGGAAUCAUUGGGCGUAAAGCGCGCGUAGGCGGCCCGGUAAGUCCGCUCUGAAAGUCCAGGGCUUAACCCUGGAAAGCGGGUGGAUACUGCCGGGCUUGAAUCCGGAAGAGGCGAGUGGAAUUCCUGGUGUAGCGGUGGAAUGCGCAGAUAUCAGGAGGAACACCAAUGGCGAAGGCAGCUCGCUGGAACGGUACUGACGCUGAGGCGCGAAAGCGUGGGGAGCGAACAGG